rnacentral:lncRNA from 1 species
CACUUAUGGUUUACAAGAUAGAAAUGCAUAUCACUUAUAUCAAAUGCAUAAGGGGAAAUAACUCUCAUAUGGAAUAUUCAUUUUGCUUCCGUCAAAAAAGGACAAAUCAGGCGAAGGAUACAACGAGCAAUUUUAUGAAAUAAAUUUGUCGCUUUCUUUUACGAUUACAGAAGAGAUGCAGUCACAAGAAAAACAGUGGUCGAGGAGAUAACUCAUACAAAAAAAAAGUAUUUGGUUACGCAGGGUAAAUUUCAGAGGUGCAUAAACUGUUCUAUAUCAUAUAGCAAAUAUCAAAGCGAUAGUUGCGAAAUAAAUAAUUAUCGCAAAAACAAAAUUAGGCGGAAGAAAAGAAAAUAAUCAGAAC